AUUGAACGCUGGCGGCAUGCUUUACACAUGCAAGUCGAACGGCAGCGCGGGCUUCGGCCUGGCGGCGAGUGGCGAACGGGUGAGUAAUGCAUCGGAACGUGCCCAGACGUGGGGGAUAGCCCGGCGAAAGCCGGAUUAAUACCGCAUACGACCUGAGGGUGAAAGCGGGGGACCGAAAGGCCUCGCGCUAUUGGAGCGGGCGAUGUCGGAUUAGCUAGUUGGUGGGGUAAAGGCUUACCAAGGCGACGAUCCGUAGCUGGUCUGAGAGGACGACCAGCCAGACUGGGACUGAGACACGGCCCAGACUCCUACGGGAGGAAGCAGUGGGGAAUUUUGGACGAUGGGGGCAACCCUGAUCCAGCCAUGCCGCGUGCGGGAAGAAGGCCUUCGGGUUGUAAACCGCUUUUGUUCGGGAAGAAAUCCUGUGCGCUAAUACCCCGGGGGGAUGACGGUACCGGAAGAAUAAGCACCGGCUAACUCCGUG
rnacentral:rRNA from 1 species